GUGUAAGUUGGACACCACCUGGUCACACAACUGUAUUGCUGUGCCCUUCUACUCAUGAGCAGUGCUGCCUGGAUGAAACCUUGAAGGGAUUCAAGCAUUUAACUGAGCCAGCUGCCUCCAUCAUGUUCUUAGUGCUUCCUAAGGCCCAAGGGGGUUCAUGAGAGUAGAACUGUGAGCCAACAAUUGAGGGAGGGCUUGAGGGUUUUAGACAGUUGCUUUGAACACUGAUUAGCAGACAAAUAUCUGUGCACAGGGGCAAUGCGGGGCCCCUCGUUGACACAGAACAAGCCUCUGAGGGCGGACCUCCUGAAUAUAUCAGUAUAGGUCAGGGCAGUAUAAUCUGGAGUUCACUGUGGGGGCUCAGCACCUAGAACAGGAAAAAAAAAAAAACCCUGAGGCUGGACUGGUCAUUGGAAUUGGGAUGGGAAGCACGGAGAAGACCGUGGUCCAGCGCCCUCUGAAGUCAUUGGCGACCGCGAUGGAAGUAGUUGGGGGUCGACAGUAAAGUUGGAGACUGAAAUUAUUUGAGCUCUUAAAAUGGGAUAAUAAGGUAACUUUCCUCCUCCUGGUAUGAGCUCAUUUAAUUGUAAAGAUCUUAAUAAAUUCAGCCUGAUUAAC
rnacentral:lncRNA from 1 species